UAGCACUGUCCCAGGAAACCACUCUGCCGUGUGACUGGAUCAGAUUCAGAUUCUGGGACAAAGCAAGGACACCACGGCUCGUGAAUUGUUGGAGGUGUUUCACGUCAAAACCCGAGGGUCGUCAUGUAUUAGCGAUAUGUCAAUCGUACUGUUGCGGGCAGAAACAAGGUUUUUUUUAAGUAGGCUUUGAUUGGGGUGUUGCGCUGUGUGAGUUGUUUGCGGUGGGCUGCACAUCUCGUGGAGUAUAGUGUAAUACAAUGUGAAUAAACAGACGAAAAUUUGUGUUCCCCUUGUCCCUCUCCCUCAAUAUUUGUUCGCACUAAACGGCCGCAAUUUUUUUAUGGUCUACUCUGUAAUGUUUGUGUAGGCAGGUAACUUAUCCAUGGUCAAGUGAAUUUGGGAGUGCAAGGUUGAAAUUGAAGAACACCUAGGUUUCUGGACUCGUGAAAUACUUCAUACAUUGCCGUAACGAAGCAAUUUCAGCAAGUCUGUUGAGCUGGUAAUUGGAAAUUUUCUUAUUGAAAAACUUGGCACUUCAAGCUUGGUGCAAACCCCAGCAUGCCACCUCGGAGGUUUUCUGUGUGCACGCUAUGUAAAAUCUCAAUUGGGAUGCCACAUUGGUUCUUAUCAUUGUGCGUUAUUCUAUCAGCUAGUUUCGAGUACACAUUUGCACAUGCAUCAAAGUUUAUUGCAGGUAGCCUUAAGUACUUCUGAUCUCUAACAGUUCACUGUUCUUGUUCACUGCUUGUGUUGUAUUCAUUGGCACCACACACACAUGAAAUGCUGCACGCAACCAAAAAAAGUUAUUUAUAGCUAAACAUGAGCCAGCAUAUGUUGACAGAGAAUUAGGGAAAGUGUUUUGUGCUCUUUUCUCGCAUUGAAUUUUGUCUGAAAAAAAGUUUGUUGUUCGUUAUUUUGAUUCUUUGUGAACCUACUAGGUUGGCUAGCAUUUUUAAAUGCAGGAUUUUACUUUGAGCUUUCUUUUUGUUGGGAAAAACUAGAAUCUGCGAUUGUGCUGGCAUUUUUUUUUAGGUUUGCUUGUUCGCUAUUUUAAACUUAACUAUAUUUUGUUAGCACAGUGUGCCUAUUAUUGGUAUCAGCUAAACAUUUACAUGAAUGGGUUGCCAUUUUCGGUGAUAUUUCAUGAUUCCUUUGUUAUAUUUUUCCUCCGUUUUCUCAUUUCCCCACCGCAUUUGGCCACACUUAUGUGCCCUUGCUAGUCUAAGUAAAAAUAAGUGCAGUAGCAUAGUUUAACCCCUUGCUUCAUUUUGGCUACCUGUGUCCACAGUCGAAACCUUUUACACACUAGUGCAGAAGUUGAAUGUGAUACAUUGGGCAAACUGUACAACUCUUCAUUGCAACUUUAACUGCAGUCUCAUGCCGCUCUGUGCACCCUCAGAAUUAGCUUCUUGUGUGGAAAACUUCGUCAGUACCCGGAAAUUUAACAUCAUUAAAUUAAAAAUUGCCAGGCUUUUGUGCUUUUCUUGCAUUGUUACAGAUCAUAAGAAUAGUAAAUGUGGCCUUAAGGAGUCGAUACCUGUCAGGUCAUAAUUUGGUCUCGAAAUGCCACCACUGGUGACGUUGUAACAAAGAGCAAAAUUUGCUGACUCAAAGAAGAUACGAGAGAGUGUCUUGGGGGCAAUGCUGACAGGUGGCUCAUACAACAGGUAUAAGAACAAAAACAAUUGUGCAUAUGAAGCCGUUAGUCGCUGGGUUCCACUUGAAUCAUAGGGCAUUGUACACUUCAGUUUGGACGUUGUAAAGUAGUGUGGCAGUUUGGGAAAGUUGGUGUAUAUUCAUCUUGGACUACAGUGCAAACACACACUGACACAGUUAGAGGGGCCAUGACGCCCAAAUUUUGCAUAAUCUGUAAAAGCUGGCAAAAUUUGAGCACAUUUGGACUUGCACUUAAUUUAUAACUUAAUAUUUUUAUAAACAUGCGAGUGGCCUCAGAGUUAGGAAACACUGGCGUGCUUGUGAGCCGUGGCGUAACAACGUGCUUGCUGCGUGAGUGUCCGCAUCCCAGUGGUCAGCUGCGUGUGCAGUCGAGCUAUUCCAGCUUUGCCAUCGGAAUGAAACAAUUUGCAGCGGCUGAAACAAUGCCACCAUGGCGCAGCAGCCACACUGCGUGGAGUCAGGUGACACUUCAUGCAGCACAAAUUGGCAAAAGGGCGCAGGGCGGGGCUUAUAGCUGAGGACUUCUUCCUGUGGACUGAAACAUUCUCUUACGGUUCGUUUUUCAUUUAUGUAUAGGCGUUGUAGACCCUCUACUAUUUUUCACUGAAAAUUGCAAAUUGUUGGGCAACCAUAUCAUUGCCCCUCUAAGAGUGGACACUCACUAGCUGCUGGUUUAUUUUAUUGAAUAUAAACGACAUAUGUACAGAUGCACAAGAAACCACAUGAUACAAAGUAUAUCAAAAGCGAGACCCAGAGAUUCCACAUGAUGACUGUGCGUGCCAUCUAAAAAUCUAACCUCUCCCUCUAGCAGGUUGACAAGACCGCCGGUUAAUACUGAUACUGAUGUAUUGGCCAGCUGUCUGUCUACCAGUUAGAGGGGGAGAUUAGGUUUUUAGAUGGCACAUAGUCAUGAUGUGGAAUCUCUGGGUCUUGCUUUUGAUAUACUUUGCAUCACGUGUAUCUGUACUUGUGUUUCAGUACAAGAUGGGCAUCUCCAUAAUGGUACUAACAAGCACAGCAGACUAGGAGUGCACUGAGCGUGUGGAGGCUAUUUUUUGUUGGUACAUUAGCCCAUUUAUCCGUUGUGGACCUUCAUUUAACACAACAGGUCAGAAUGCCAUGUUGCAAAGUGUUUUGCAUUUGUUAGUCGAAAACAUUGCAAGACUGGCAUCUUGUUCAUAAACGCAUGUAGUAAUCACGCACACUGAUAUGUGUGAACCAUUGCUGACAGAACACUACUUUGAAACCAAGGAUUGGAAUAUGCGCAGCUCUUUUCAUUGGGGCACUCGAAGAAUUAUCAAAUCAGUAUUCAGUCAGAAGUGCAAAAUUUUCUAAUCAAAUUCACUAGAUAUGUAUAGAAAAGACGCCUCGAAUAAUGUCACAUUUAUGGAGCGACAUAAAACAAGGAAAUUGUUCAAAGUCUUGAGUGCUUGCGUAGUGAAUCCUAAGAUCAUGUGUACACUAAAUAAUAGACUUAUUCUAGUUGUAUUCAAAGUUUUGAAUAUUUCCGCACCCCUAAAUUUCAGCAAACAGGGGAACUCUAGUGAAGCACACAUGGUACAUGCAAGAUUAUGCCCGUUUUGUGCAAUCUACCCAAACAAUAGCUUCUUUUUUAUGUUUUUUGCUUUCCUGUUCAUUUGCUACUGUGGGUUGCUGGUCUGACGAAAUUUACUUGUGUGCACAAGUUUUGCAAGUGUUCUUUAGUGCCUCUUGUUAAUUCGUUGAUGUGUUCCAUUCGCAAUGCCACUGUUUAAUAACACAUGGUCAGUAUAGUGAUGGUGUUGCUAAAUGUCAUCUCAAAUGGCCUAUCAUUCUCAGCCAUUUAAUGUAGAGCAUCACUUACAAAACAGGAAAUCCGAACAAGUUUCAGCAGAAGAUAGAGGCCUGAAGAGAUGAACAUUCUUGAACAGGGGGUGUUCAAGAAUGAGUGCAAUGCUUGCCCUCAGCUUGAGAAUUGCAUCUGUUUGAAUGCCUAUAACUGCUGCUGCCUACAACCCCAGCAUCAGUGGCAUAAAUCAUAGGGGGGUCCUCAGGCCUUUGAAGCACAAAGUAAAGAAUCCCUGAUCAUCUACCGUUAUUUAUUUAUGUAGACGAUUUGGUGGAAGCCAUUGGCAAUGGAGUACGAAUGCGAUCGCUCGAAUAUAAUUGUGUCAUUUAAAAAAAAUCGCUGGUUCAUAUAAACACGCUUUACAAAAAAGAUUCCAGGGUUAAAUCUUGGGAGGCUAACAGUAUGCAUGUUUGAAGCUGAAAUGAAGGGAAAGCUGCUAGCAUUUUCAGUUGAUGGUUUAACCUGAGUGACAUACUUUCUAGAAAUAUGGUAGAGCCUAUACCUACGAUGCUUGUUUUCUUUCUAAUUUAUUUGAAAAGAUAAUUUUAAUUUUUAAAUAACAAACAAAACAUAUGAAAAACAAGAUGGCUGCUAUGACAUCAAGAUGUGUGUCCCCCCUUGAGAUUUUUCUGGAUUUACGCCACUGCUCAGCAUGUAUCCUGGUGGAACAUAUACACUGAGGUUUUUCUGUGCUGUAACUUUUUUCAUUGGCAGCGCUACCUUGGUGCAGUCAAAUGUAAUUCAUGAGGGUGGGCGGUGCCAUUCACCCAGAUUUAGUGUGUCAUCACACUAACUGCACUUCAAUGUUUCUUAAAGGGACACUAACGUGAGAAAUGUGUCGAGCUUUGUUACCUUGCUGGUAUGAUACCAAAAAAAUAUGAGGAGAGACUUCAUAAGCUAGGUGCACCAGUUCCUGCACGAGCUCACCAUGUAUUUUGACAGUUUGUUCUGUAGACCAAGCUGUCUGUAAAGAUAAGGGAAGGCUGAACAAAUAGUCAUUGAGUGUUUAUUUUUCUUUCUUUUUUUGUGACCUGUUAGAACCACAGGAUUCAUUGUAUGUUCAGGAAUUAGCUCUCGAUUAUAUUUUCUAGUAAUCAACCCUUUUUAGAAAUCAUCGAAAGCGGUUUUGAGAGAGAACUUCAUCCAUGGUGUUUCUCCAGAGUUUAAAUGGCUUGUCAGCUGAUGUAAUAGCUUUCUUGUAUUUACCUGUGCUGCGCAUUCAGAAAAAAAAAAAAAAAUUGAAGCCCUCCAAAGAAAGCUGUCACCCAUAUUGCAGUGUGUGAACUGAUGAAAACUAACUUGUACAGCUAGUGAAACACAGAGGUGCACUUUAGUUGAAGCUGUGAAAUUGAUGGGGUUUCGAGAAUUUCAACUUGUGGGAAGCACAUGCCAUGUAGGCACCAUUAUGCUAGUUGUCCUUGCCACUUGACUGUGUGCUUGUGUCUGAGGAAACCCUUGAGAGGACAGUUGUUCUAGUGAAUUUUGAGGGGAGGUCUUUAGAAAGCCGUUCUUGCCCUCCCUGCAUCCUGAUCUCACUCCUUAACCAGCUUAGGAUUAGUGACACCCAUCGCAGCAGUCAUGUUGAAGCUUAUGCAUUAGCUGUUAUCAAAAUGCAGGUUUAAAUGAGGAGAAUUGAUGACAAACACCAACCAUGAAAGAGGUGAUUCAAAAUGACAUUAAGACGCAACAAUGCUUAGGUACGUUGAUUCUGUUACAUUAUGAACAAGGCUCCCAUUUGAAAGCCGAUACACUGCCUUACUAAAUAUUUUGUGGUUGGUAUUGGUCAUCAUCUUUCAUCAAAACAAGAUAACUGGAUUUUUAUAUGUAUGUAGGUGGGUUUCUGUGUAAAAAAGUGUUGCACGAUAAUGUUGUUUCCAUUCCGUAUUUUGCCAUAGCAACUGCAAGUUGAGCAGCCAAGUAGCUUUUUGCAAGUGCAACUUGAGUUGUGUAGCCUCGUUUCCAAGAGCCUUAUUGGCUUUGUAUAUUCAGCUGUAAUUUUGCAUGAAAGUUGCAUGCAGCCUUGCUUUGCUUAUUGUAGCAUACCUAUUUCAGUUGAGAAACCUUUGACGAACACUGCAGCAGCCAGCAGUGUUUUGCAGGUUGUUGUGUCCUUGACCUUCAUCCAUCAAUAUGUUUCGUUUUAAUGUGUGUGUGUGUUUUAAAAGUCGCUUGAUGUUGACUUUGUUUAUAUCAAUAUGUGUUCACUAUGUCACAUCUGCAUCCUUUUAGUUUCUUCCAUUGUUCUAACAUUACGACUUUUGUCAUUGUGAAACGUGCAUUUGACCGAUAAGUGCUAAGGACACCUAUUUGAAGGGUUGGUAGCAGCUAUGUUUGAAAAUUUCUUAGCAUCAAGUGCUUGUAUCUUGUGAAGUAACUUAAUCAAAAGUAGGGUAUUGCUCGGAGUUGUCAUACACAGACAGCGGGUACCUAGCAGGUGACAGUAAGUGCAAAGAUCCUUUCUUUAUACUGAAGCUGUGCCGAGUGGAUUAUGUGAUGUGUAUAGCUUCAGUCAAAUUCUGGUUGGUUGCACCACCACUUGACCUACCAGGUCAGGAGCAUUCCUUGACACAACACUGCUUUGAAUAAGGUCAACCUGGUGCCUUUCUAUGUAGUUUUUUUUCUUUAAGUGUCCGUUUACUACUGAAUCAUUUUGGCACCACCAAACAUACUGUGUUAUACUGUCAUUGCCGUUCUUUUCCUCGGUGGCCGUGUUCACGGAUUGCCCAUGAGUACAUUUGUUUGUGUAGAUGCUACUGCAUGCUUCCAAUAGACACAGAUUUUGUGACAAAUAAAGAUUUACUUUGAACAGUA
rnacentral:lncRNA from 1 species